rnacentral:rRNA from 1 species
GGGUCUACCCGUUGGUCAGGCUUAAUUGUCUGCACUGGUGAGAUGGAUCUCUACCUUCUGAGGAACUUUCAUGCCAUUUAUUUGGUGUGAUGGGAAAUCAGGACUUUUACCUUGAAAAAAUUAGAGUGUUCAAAGCAGGCCUUUGCUCGAAUACAUUAGCAUGGAAUAAUAGAAUAGGACAUCGGUUCUAUUUUGUUGGUUUCUAGGACCGCUGUA